UGACGAUGAGGGAAAGAGGAGAGUUUAUCCCCAUCACUGACUCUGCUGCUUUAGGAUUUCAACCAGCAUCCUUUUCAUCACAGUUCUGCUCCCUCUGAGAACAGAGGGGGUUUGUGUUUGGUCGUGUUGUGGUAUUUGGAGCGUUCACUUCAGUGAUCAUCAUUCAUGUGUUCUCCCACAGGCCUGUCUGAUUAUCUCUGCUCACUGAAGCCUAUAAUGUGUUUAUUUUCUCUCCAAACAUGUAAUUUCUAUCUUGUGCUUGUGUAGGAACCACUAAUUGCUCCAUGAGGAAUCAGGGGCUAUGGCGCUGAUGGGGCUCCGUCUCCUGACGCUGGCCUUGUGGGUUGGCGUUGGAGUGAAGCUUGAAGUUUGGGGCGACCAGGUGAAGCCAGCCCGAGCACCUCUGAUCCCCCACCGGCCUUUUGUCGUAGUCUGGAACGCUCCGACUGAGUCCUGUCGCCUUCGAUUCAAGGUGGACCUGGACCUAAGCGUUUUUGACAUCGUAGCAAACCUCAAUGAAACCCUCAGUGGACCGAACGUCACCAUAUUCUAUCACAGCCACCUGGGAUAUUACCCAUUCUACUCCAACUCCGGGUUCCCUAUCAAUGGUGGACUGCCCCAGAACCAGAGCAUCUCCAAACACCUGAGUAAGGCCCGGGCUGACAUCGACAAGCUGAUCCCCCACAAGGAUUUUCGAGGCCUGGGCGUCAUUGAUUGGGAGAACUGGAGGCCUCAGUGGGUUCGAAACUGGGGCUCCAAGGACAUCUACCGCAACAAGUCCAAGGAACAGAUCCGGAAACUUCACCCGAACUGGCCAGAGAGCAAAGUGGAGAAGCAAGCAAAGGAAAAUUUUGAGAGGGCCGGACUGAACUUCAUGAACCUGACCUUGGCCCUGGCUGAAGGUCGCAGGCCAGAUGGAUUGUGGGGGUUUUACCUGUUUCCAGACUGUUACAACUACGGGUAUAAGCAGCACCCGCAACGGUACACAGGCGAAUGCCCGAAUGUCGAGCAUGUCCGUAAUGAUCAUCUGAUGUGGCUCUGGAGGGAAAGCACGGCACUAUACCCGUCCAUCUACCUGGACUACGAGCUCAAGUCCUCCACCAACACUGUCAAGUUCGUCCACUAUCGAGUCAAAGAAGCCAUGAGAAUUGCGUCUAUCGCCCGUAUGGACUUCACACUGCCCGUGUUUGUCUACUCCAGACCUUUCUACGCCUACACCUUUGUGGUUCUUUCAGAGAGUGACCUUGUUCAUACCAUCGGGGAGAGCGCUGCCUUGGGAGCAUCAGGCGUCAUCCUCUGGGGAUCAUCAGAGUACGCUCGAUCACAGAGGAACUGCCUGACGGUGAAGAAGUACAUCGACGGUCAGCUGGGACAUUACGUCAUCAACGUCACCUCUGCUGCCAAGCUGUGCAGCAAAGCGCUGUGCAAGAAGAACGGCAGGUGCGUGCGCAAGAGCCUGGAUUCGGGCGCUUACCUGCACCUGAACCCACGCUUCUUCAACAUCCACCGCAACCCGACGCCCAGGGGCCCCCGCUUCCACGUCAGCGGCCACCUCAACAACCACGACAUCUUGGACAUGAAGCACAAGUUCACCUGCCAGUGCUACCAGGGCUGGACAGGUGUUUACUGCGAGGUGCCCCAGGUACCGGCCCCUCCUCCUCCUGUCCCGCCUCAACCCGCCAUCCCUCUGCCUCACCCCCGGGAGAACAGCCUGCUGGGAGAUGUCCUCGUCCUGCUAUCCCUCCAUUUCUCUUGUCUCUGCAUCAUCAUGUUCCUGGGACUCUGUCUGAUUAUCAGGUGUCUGAUACUGUAGACACCAAAAUGUACUUUUAGGACCCCCUCCUCCUCCUCAGGACGACAGACAGCAAAUGAAAAGUCAGAAGAUCAUCAGAGUUCCAGAAGUGUGUGAACCAGAUUUCACAGCCAGCCAUCACGUGACCGAGGCGGAGCUGAAGCUGACUCAACCCGACGGCGUUUCUCUGUCGCUGUUAUUAUCGGAUUAUGAUGAUUGACAGCUGAGGAAGUAAACAAUCUCACAGCAUCUGCGGUUCACAGUCGUCUCAGUUUCAUGUCUUCGGAUCUUUUUUCUUCGUCUUCUAAACACAAACAUUGACAAUUAUGUUACCAGUGAAAGUCUCGUACACUUUGUUUCCUGUCAACUGUUUGAACAUUUUCUAAAACAGUGUAUCCUGUAUCCAUUUUAUAAAAUAAACUUCUUCAAAAUGUCUUAAAUAAACAGAAACCAAACACCUGUAAUUUUGCGACUCCCAGACUUCAGUUACCUCCUGUACUUGAGCUAA